rnacentral:rRNA from 1 species
UACAGAGGGUGCGAGCGUUGUCCGGAAUCACUGGGCGUAAAGGGCGCGUAGGCGGCUUGGUAAGCGUGCGGUGAAAGCUCAGGGCUCAACCCUGAGUCUGCCGUGCGAACUGCCGAGCUGGAGCACGGUAGAGGCACAUGGAAUUCCGGGUGUAGCGGUGGAAUGCGUAGAGAUCCGGAAGAACACCGGUGGCGAAGGCGGUGUGCUGGGCCGUUGCUGACGCUGAGGCGCGACAGCGUGGGGAGCAAACAGG